GGACGGACUGACGGACAGACAGAGGUAAAACAGUAUACCCCCCCUUUUUUAAAGCGGGGGUAUAAUUACAGAGGUAAAACAGUAUACCCCCCCUUUUUUAAAGCGGGGGUAUAAUUACACAUGGAACCAUCUGACAACAAGUAACAGUAAAUAUGUGUCUUUAAAUAACAAUGCAGGCGAGUUUGUUCUUUUCUCUAGAUGGACAAUACAACAAUGUUAACUUUAUUCAUUGUUAUGUGUGACCUAUUGAAAGAAUAAGGAAAAUUUUUUAUUUGCUAGUCAAAUCAUUGAAUAAGAUAUCAAAAGGAUGGCUGAAACACCAAUUAAAAAUAAAUUCAAUAUUUACAUCUGCUAAUACAAAUGUGAUUUAAAAUUCAUGUUUCAUUUAACAAAC
rnacentral:lncRNA from 1 species